AUGAUGACUAGAGUCGUUACUCUUCUAGCCCUUCUUCCACUCAUAUCUCUUGAUCUUCUUCCGCUGCGCUGCUGUGCUGGUGCAGCAUCGGUAGCACACACGCUGCGCGCCGGGUCAUCCCUGUCGGUGGAAGACCACGGGCUGCCCUUCCUGGUCUCACCGGACGCCACCUUCUCCUGCGGCUUCCUCCCGGCCGGCGACAACGCCUUCUACUUCUCCGUCUGGUUCACCGCGGCCAAGAACCGGACCGCCGUCUGGACGGCCAACCCUGGCGCCCCCGUGAACGGCCGGAUUUCCCGUAUAUCCUUCGGCGCCGAGGGCAAGCUGGCCCUCGUCGACGCAGACGGGACGAGCGUGUGGGAUAGCAAGACCGGCGGCAACAAGCAGCUCACCAUCUCCCUCCUCGACACCGGCAAUCUCCUCGUCGCCGACCCGUCCACCGGCCGCGCCCCCGUGUGGCAGAGCUUCGACUGGCCGACGGACACCCUGCUCCCGUCGCAGACGCUGUCCAAGAACAAGAAGCUAGUCGCCGGCUACUACGCCCUCUACUACGACAGCGACAACGUGCUGCGGCUCUUGUACGACGGCCCGGAGAUCGCCAGCACCUACUGGCCGGACCGGGACAUAGGCGUGUUCGGGAGCGGGCGGACCAACUACAACACCUCACGCAUCGGCGUCCUCGACGACACCGGCGUGUUCCUCUCCAGCGACAAACUGCGAGUCGAGGCCUCCGACCUGGGCGCCGCCGGCGUCAAGAGACGGCUAACCAUCGAGCAGGACGGGAACGUGAGGAUGUACAGCCUGGACGCGGCCGGAGGAUGGACGGUCACGUGGGCUGCGAUGAAGCAGCCGUGCUCCGUCCACGGGCUGUGCGGCAAGAACGGCGUCUGCGAGUACCAGCCGUCCCUCCGAUGCUCGUGCGCACCGGGGCACGAGAUGGUGGACCGCCACGACUGGAGAAAGGGAUGCCAACCGAUGUUCAGCACCGCCACCAACUGCAGCGCGUCGGAACAGCAGCGAUUCGCGUUCGUCGAGGUGGCGUCCACUGAGUUCUACGGCUACGACCUCGGAUACAACAGCUCCGUCACGUUGGAAGACUGCAAGAGCAUCUGCUUGAGCAUGUGCUCCUGCGUCGCCUUCUCCUACAAGAUGAAUGGCCUGGGCCAGUGCUUACCGAAAGGGGUCCUGUUCAACGGUUACACGUCCCCCACGUCCCCAGAAAGCAUAUAUCUCAAGGUGCCUGGCGAGCUCAACGCCUCGGCGCCGCCGCCGCCGCCCGAGGGCCUCGUCUGCAAUCAUAAUGGUUCUGCCGGUGGCGCCACCAUCGUCCCGCCACCGCAAUACUGGUCCUACUUUUUCGCUAUCGCCGCCGUGCUGGGAUUUCUUGAGCUCCUCUUCAUCGCCACGGCGUGGUGGUUCCUGUCAAGGCAGAACAGCGCCAUACCAAGCUCAAUGGAGGCAGGCUAUAGGCUGGGCAUGGGGACCCAUUUCAAGAGGUUCACGUAUCGGGAGCUCAAAAAUGCCACUGGGAACUUCAACGAGGAGCUCGGCCAUGGCGGCUCCGGCGUCGUGUACCGUGGGGUGCUUGACAAGACCACCGUGGUGGCGGUGAAGAAGCUGACAAACGUGGUGCAGGCCGACGAGGAGUUCUGGGCAGAGAUGGCGGUGUUCGGUAGGAUCAACCACAUCAACCUGGUGAGGAUCUGGGGCUUCUGCUUGGAGGGCAAGCACAGGCUGUUGGUGUACGAGUAUGUGGAGAAUGAGUCACUGGACAGACACCUGUUCGGUCAGGACGACAUCGACAAGGCGCUGGCGUGGAGCGAGAGGUUCAAGAUCGCGCUUGGCGCGGCCAGGGGCCUAGCCUACCUCCACCACGAGUGCCUUGAGUGGGUCAUCCACUGCGACGUCAAGCCGGAGAACAUUCUGCUCACGCGGGACCUCGACCCAAAGAUCUCUGACUUCGGGCUGGCCAAGUUGUCCGGGAGGAACGACGUCAGCAAUGGUGUGCAGCUCUCCCACAUGAGGGGGACGGCAGGGUACAUGGCACCUGAGUGGGCGCUAGGCCUGCCGGUCGACGCCAAAGUUGAUGUGUACAGCUACGGCAUCGUGCUCUUGGAAAUGGUGAUCGGCAGCAGGAUUUCUGACCAGACGACCGCGGACGGUGGAGAACGGCUGGAGAUGCGUCAGAUCACGCAGGCGCUGAAGCAGGUGGUGGCGAGUGGAUCUAUAGUGUCGCUGGUGGAUAGAAGGCUGAAUGGGCAGUUCAACCCUCGACAGGCCAUGGAAAUGGUGAAGAUCUCCUUAUCGUGCAUGGAGGAGAGGACCAACAGACCGACCAUGAAUGACAUAUGCAAAGCUCUUACAGCGUGCGAUUAUGAGGACGAGCACCCUGCCUACUUGGCAUGA
rnacentral:rRNA from 1 species